rnacentral:rRNA from 1 species
GAUGAACGCUGGCGGCGUGCUUAACACAUGCAAGUCGAACGGAAAGGCUCCUGCUUGCCGGGGUACUUGAGUGGCGAACGGGUGAGAAACACGUGGGUGAUCUGCCCUUCACUGCGGGAGAAGCCUGGGAAACUGGGGCUAUUACCGGAUAGGACCACAUUAUGGAUGGUGUGGUGGAAAGUUUUUCGGUGUGGGUUGAGCUCGCGGCGUAUCAGCUUGUUGGUGGGGUAAUGGCCUACCAAGCCGUCGACGGGUAGCCGCCCCGAGAGGGUGUACGGCCACACUGGGCCUGAGAGACGGGCCAGAGUCCUACGUGAGGCAGAAGUGGGGAAUAUUGCACAAAGGGCGCAAGCCUGAUGGAGCGACGCCGCGUGGGGGAUGAAGGCCUUUGGGUUGUAAACACCUUUCUCUAGGGACGAAGCGUUUUUGUGACGGUACCUGGAGAAGAAGCACCGGCUAACUACGUG